GACAAGCUCAAGCUCUUUGUGCUCUUCUUUCAGAGAACUAGCCCAGAAACUCACCAUGAAAUUUAGGCUGAACUUGGUUUUCCUUCUUACUGUUUUCCAAGGUGUCCAGUGUGAUGUUCAGCUGGUGGAGUCUGGGGGAGAUGUGAGACAGCCUGGGAGUUCCCUGAGUCUCUCCUGCAAAGCUUCUGGAUUUACCUUCAGCGGCUCCUGGAUGAGCUGGGUUCGCCAGGCUCCAGGGAAGGGACUGGAAUGGGUUGCAAGCAUUAAUACUGAUGGAAGUAGCACAUAUUAUGCAGACUCUGUGAAAGGUCGAUUCACCAUCUCCAGAGAUAAUGGCAACAGCAUGUUAUAUGUGAAGAUAAAUUCCCUUAAAACUGAGGAUACAGCUGUGUAUUACUGUGCAAGAGACACAGUGAAGAAAAGGAAUGUGAGACUAGACAGAAACUUCCUAUGCCAGGAGGCAAGAGACCAGUGA